UCCUCUUUCUCAUCUCUGUCUCCCCCCUCUCUGUUUCCUCUCUCCCUGCCCCUCCCUCCUCCCCCCCGUAGUGGAAAUUCACAGAGUGCUGAUUGUGACGGGAGAUCGUGCUGGCUCGGCUGUGGGCUUCGGGGGCCUAUGAUGUCAGUGCCAUGUUUUCCUUGGAGAGAGUCUCUCUCUCUUUCUCUUCGGCUGCAUUGUUCCUGGAAACUGUGGUCUGCUCUCUCCAGGCAACCGAAGGAAGCCUGCCGCCCCAGCCCCCAACCCCCACGGGCUCGGCCAAUCAGAGGGAAGCGCUCUGGUGACGCAUCGUACCCUCAGGAACUGUCUCUCGAGGAAGGAGGUGAGCUGUUGUCUGGCUCCUGUCCCCUGAGGCGAAGUGCGGUCUCAACAGAGUCCUCUCCUUUUCAGAGGUGCCAACAAGGGAAAGAGAUGAAAAUGAUUUUGGUCCCUGUUUGUAGAGCAGUUAUUAUAGGGAUGUUCUUUAAACAGGACCAUACACGCAUAGCACCAACACUGCGUUUCUGAGUAGCCUACUAAACAGGGAGGCUAUGAACGCUAAUCACUGGAUAAAGUAAAUUGUGGACAAGGGUCAGUCCUGCAGAGUGUAAGGGCAGUUUAUAUUGCAGGAUAUUCACUGCUCAUAAGCAAAGUGUCAGUACUACAGAGGACUAGUAACUAGUGAAAAAGGACUCUCUGUACCGGGGUUUUAAACCCUUGCCCUCAGCAUCCCCAUGAAUGCAGGUUUUCAGCCUAAACUUAAUUACAAUUCCUGAACCCUAAAGAGCUGCUAAUUGUUUUUGCUUAGAUGUCUAAUGAGGGAUGCUUUACCCACUUAAUCCCAUAUUAUGUGAGAAACAGAUAGUAAAGAAUGAAUAUUGUCUGUUAAUUUAAGGACUUUUAAUUUUUAAAAAAUGAGUCCUUAGAGAACUACGCUUUCAUUUUUGCUGUGAGCUGUGACCAAUUAUUCCCUUUGAAAGGGUGCGUUUUGUACUGAUUAAAUGAAGAAAUCAGUAAGGCUUGUGAAAUGCUGAAGGGGUAGACACCUGGUCAUUAAAACUAAACCACUUGUGAGACAUGCAGAGUUGGAAGAGAAAACAAAUGAAACAAGUCUGUUUCAGCAGAGAAGUGUGAAACUCAAACACAUGUUUUCAAUACCCUUAAUUAACCAAUUAAGGGCGUUGAAGCCAAUCUCUGGUUUCCAGCCAUGGGCAGUAAUGAAAGUCAGCAUUUUUGUUCAGAGAACAAGGGAGAGAAAUGUGGACGUGUUGCAGUUUAUCUUGCACUAACAGACACAGAAUGUUUGGAAGUGAUAGGGGGGGAAAAAAAUGAAUGAAAGCCAAGGAGAAUGCUGGGAAAUGAUGUACUUGGACCGGAUAUCCUGCAUGUUUGCGGAGCAGAAUUCAACAAGAUGGACAGAACAAGGGCCUCCGAGUCCAGCUCCCUGGGUAGUGUCUACAGAGCAAACGACAGUGGCUCCGGGGGAAACGCCGGGCACACGGUGGGCCCGACGAGAACCAGCGGAGCAGCGAGAUUGGGCCACUACCUUUUCCCCAGGCCGGCUCUUCAAAUGAGACCCCAGGCCUGAGACCUGAGCAUGUCUGGCCCAGGAGUUUGACCUGAUCUAUGAUGAUGCCGAACUCCACAGUGAACCAGUACACCUGCAGGCCCGGGGGAAAGGAAACGCAUCAUCAGGAGGGGACGGAGGAUGACUUUACACCACUGAAGUCAGGAUGGCGGUACUCACGGCUCAGGGGUGUACAUGGGCCUGGACCCGUGGCGGAUGUACUGCGUGGAGUGGAAGACGCGGAACGCCAGCCCCGCCAGGAAGUCCCGGGAGGAGAGCAGCCCGGCCACGGGACGCAGCCGAAACCCCGUACAGGCUGAGGGAGAGAGAGAGGGGCGAGCGAGGAGAGAGAGGGGCAAGCAAGCAAGCCAGCGAGGGAGAGAGAAAGUGUAUAUUCCUGUCAAACUGCACACAUGCCUUCAACAGCCAGUAGUUCAUUUGGUUUCCAGGGAUGGUCUGAGUCCAGCUCGGACCCAUAGCUCAGGAUCUGGUUGGCAAAGCGGUCCAGCUCCUGAAUUUCCUUUGGAAACCAAGGGACUGUGGAGACAGAGAACAGAGGCACAGAUGACGUCAUUGGCAACCAAUCAGGACAUCACUGAGUACCUGCAGAAUGACAUCACAUCCGUAAAUACUGGAUUGGCGGUGGGGGAAGGGCAGUCUCUGCUGAUGGGGGAGAAGAUGCAGGACAGCACCCCCGCCUUGGUGGCUUGCUCCUCCAGAGCCCUGGAUGCUGAAGACCGAUUGGCUGAGAGGCAGUGCGCUGUCCAGCAGUGGCCUCCUAAAAGGAACCUGAUGCAGCGUGGCGACACUCUGAUCCCAUCGGAUCCCUAAAACUACAAACACGUGAAUUUAUCUCCCCCCCUCUCUCUCUCCCUCUCC